rnacentral:tRNA from 2 species
GCCGAAGUGGCGGAACUGGCAGACGCGCACGACUCAAAAUCGUGUGAGGUGCACCCUCUUGGGGGUUCGACUCCCCCCUUCGGCA